rnacentral:rRNA from 1 species
CCAAUAGCGUAUAUUAAAGUUGUUGCAGUUAAAAAGCUCGUAGUUGAAUUUCGGGGUCAGUAGGUCGGUCGUGCCACUGGUAUGAACUGGUUUCACUGAUUCCUCCCUCUUGUAGAACCGUAAUGCCAUUAACUUGGUGUUGCGGGGAAACAGGACUGUUACUUUGAAAAAAUUAGAGUGUUUAAAGCAGGCUAACGCUUGAAUACAUUAGCAUGGAAUAAUGACAUAGGACGUCUGUCUUAUUUUGUUGGUUUCUAGGAUGGACGUAAUGAUUAAUAGGGAUAGUUGGGGGCAUUAGUAUUCAAUUGUCGGAGGUGAAAUUCUUGGAUUUAUUGAAGACUAACUACUGCGAAAGCAUUUGCCAAGGAUGUUUUCAUUAAUCAAGAACGAAAGUUAGGGGAUCGAAGACGAUCAGAUACCGUCGUAGUCUUAACCAUAAACUAUGCCGACUAGGGAUCGGAUGAUGUUAAUUUUUUAAUGACUCAUUCGGCGCCUUACG